GAUUAGUGUCAUAUACAAAUUACGGUAUUUCUGUCGCAAUUUUCGUAGUGUAAUAUCAAUGUUGGAAAUUUCAAUAGCUAAAGCUUAUUGGAAGUAGUACUUUCGAGUACAUAUUUGGUUAUAGUUCAGAUCGAGAUAGUUCGAAGUUACUUGUCACAUAUACACCAUACGCGGGAAAACAGAAUAAUGAGGUUAGGUACGCCGACAACUAAGUUCGCAGAUUGGACACCGAGGACGUUUGUUUUCCACAUGAGUAUGUUAUGAGACGAGCAACGAAAUGCAUUCGUGUUCACGAACAACCAAUUAAGAGAGAUCGUUUCACAAUUAAUUGCCACGGAUACAACAUUUGACGCGUCGAUGGAAAGGAUCGAAUCGACUAUCGAUGUUCGCACAAUCAUCGAGGGCGGCGUAUAAUUGGAGACGAUUGGUUUGUCGACAGAUCAACACGAGCCUCGGAGUUUUCCUGGGAUAUCGAGUUACCGGGAACCUAAUGCACGGCUCGGUACUGUUAUAUUUUACUAGCAGUGCAUGCACCUCGUCGAAAUUGAUCGAUCUUUCCUGAUUGAAAUUUUGUUUCAACAUUCAAGAUUUUUUAAUCCACGUUCAUUCGACACAUCACCCAUGGCCCACCAAUGCUAGAGGAUAUUAGGAAAUGGCGCUUAUCGACAAUACGUUAACAUCACCUUUAAAGCGUAUAGACAUACAAGUACACACGUACACCCAAUGUUCGCGAAAAAGGAUCAUUACUUUGGUUGCCAAUUCAGUCGUAAUUUAAAAAUAUUGCUAGCAUCAUGGUUCGACUGGCUGGCAUUCGGCCAUAAAACGAGGUAAAUUGCUUUCUAAUCCGGCGUUUCCAGAAUUGAUCGGCUGACGAGUAAACAAGGGAAGGAGAAGGUGCUUCUGGAUAGCAGCUCGGUGAUGUCGCUUUUCGGCGAGUAAAUCAAAGGAGCAUCAGAUAUGACCAAUCUCGUGAAACGACAAAAUGGCGUCAUCUUUGAAAUCUGCCUUUGCUAUUGAUGCAUACGAAUUUCUUUUUAAGUACAAGAUUAAGAUUUCACAGGAAGACCGAGGAGGACGGAAAGAAACUGAGACUUAGUAUCAGAAACACACGGAUACACACGCUUAGAAACGAAUACCCAGCUUGGCCUCUGUAAAUUCAUCGUUCUCGAAACGUGGACGAUUGGUGGCGGCGAGGAAGUUUACGAGAAAGAAGGAACUGCAUCGGUUGGUAUGGAAGAGAAAACUGCGAAGAUCGGAGCAGGAGUGUGCGAAAGCCAUUUCUGGGACUAGCUCGUUGCAACAGCUUCGCCUCUUUGCCGCACUCUCGCGUUGUUUCACGGCGUGAAUAUAGGUGAGGAACGGAGAUAGCUGCUAGAAGGCGAGCCAGAAAAGACCAAGGAGUACCGGCAGAAAGAGGAAAUCGAGGGAAAAAGGAAAGCUCGUAGCCUUUAAAGAACGCUCGGAACGAAGGCUGGUUCUCUCUCUGUCUGUCGUUGUCCUGCCGCGUCCAAUAGUCUCUUUAAUCUCCAGUCCUGUCUGCCAUUCGUUCUCGAGCUGCCCCCUUUUGCGGAAGAACCCGUUUCUCUAUCCUUUUUCUCUUCUUUCUCCUUUCUGUUUACCCCCGUUGGCUUCGUUCGUCGCUGCCCUUUCGGUCCGCUUCGCGCCCAUAGCGAGCUCAAUGGAGCGGAUCGAAAUUCCGACCGAGUAGCUAAGGCUGGAAUUGAACGAAAUUCGGCGGUGGAUAGCUGGAGAAGGUACAAAGCGUGGUCUCAGUAAGUAGGCGCCUUUGAUUUGCUGUCGAAUACGACGACGAUGUGGAUCCUGGAUUUCGGUGAAGACGGUUAGAGACGAAGGGAUCUGUAAGACUUGGGUGAGACAUGGGUAAUAUAUGGGUGGCAUUACCAUGGAACUAACUGAAUCUGUUUUUAGAUUUAAAUUGGUGUUUUCUUUUUUA
rnacentral:lncRNA from 1 species